CCCAGAUCAACAUCCCAUUACCCAGACUGCAAGUACAAGCCGCUGGCUGGAUAAUCGUGGACGGCCGCAUUUCAGGGACGUGUUGAAAUUCUCCAGGCUGAACUAGCUCAAACAAAGACAAUCAGGUAUGGGCAUCGAGCAUUGACCCUGCGUGUACAUCCUGGUGCUGCCCACAGGCACGGCAACGCGACCUUCUCAACGCCGCUCUG